GAGGAUCCAACAGAAGUACAAAACUCCAGUUUGUCAUCGUCCAUGUAUAGCUGUGAGAAUUUACCAAACCAUGAAGUAACUAUAGUUAUGGUUCCAUUUCCAGCUCAAGGUCAUCUUAACCAACUUGUCCAACUUUCAUGUUUAAUCUCCUCCUAU